rnacentral:rRNA from 1 species
ACUCCUGCGGGAGGCAGCAGUGGGGAAUUUUGGACAAUGGGCGAAAGCCUGAUCCAGCAAUGCCGCGUGAGUGAAGAAGGCCUUCGGGUUGUAAAGCUCUUUUGUCAGGGAAGAAACGGUGAAAGCUAAUAUAUUUUGCUAAUGACGGUACCUGAAGAAUAAGCACCGGCUAACUACGUGCCAGCAGCCGCGGUAAUACGUAGGGUGCAAGCGUUAAUCGGAAUUACUGGGCGUAAAGCGUGCGCAGGCGGUUUUGUAAGUCUGAUGUGAAAUCCCCGGGCUCAACCUGGGAAUUGCAUUGGAGACUGCAAGGCUAGAAUCUGGCAGAGGGGGGUAGAAUUCCACGUGUAGCAGUGAAAUGCGUAGAUAUGUGGAGGAACACCGAUGGCGAAGGCAGCCCCCUGGGUCAAGAUUGACGCUCAUGCACGAAAGCGUGGGGAGCAAACAGGAUUAGAUACCCCUGUAGUCCCGUGA